UACGAAGGGGGCUAGCGUUGCUCGGAAUCACUGGGCGUAAAGGGUGCGUAGGCGGGUUUUAAGUCAGGGGUGAAAUCCUGGAGCUCAACUCCAGAACUGCCUUUGAUACUGAAGAUCUUGAGUCCGGGAGAGGUGAGUGGAACUGCGAGUGUAGAGGUGAAAUUCGUAGAUAUUCGCAAGAACACCAGUGGCGAAGGCGGCUCACUGGCCCGGUACUGAGCGACUGA
rnacentral:rRNA from 1 species